rnacentral:rRNA from 1 species
UACAGAGGGUGCAAGCGUUAAUCGGAAUUACUGGGCGUAAAGCGUGCGUAGACGGUUAUGUAAGUCAGGUGUGAAAGCCCCGGGCUCAACCUGGGAAUUGCAUUUGAGACUGCAUAGCUAGGGUGCGGAAGAGGGAAGCGGAAUUUCCGGUGUAGCGGUGAAAUGCGUAGAUAUCGAGAGGAACACCUGCGGCGAAGGCGGGUUGCUGGGCUGACACUGACGCUGAGGCGCGAAAGCCAGGGGAGCAAACGGG